AAAGAAAAACCUAGGCUUCAGUAGCAAACUCUCUGAGCGAUGAACCCCAUCGUCUUGACUCUGACUCACAACAGUUUGGACUUCCAAAAAAGAGCUUUAGAUUUAUCACUGGAUAAGCCCUGAAAAGUAUGGAAUGGCUCCAGAGAUCCAGGAUGAUUUCUCCAACUUGAUUCAGAGCCACGAAAAGCAGCUGUUAGGAGCAGACUGCAGAUGGGCUCACCAUUGUGGAAAUGGCUCUUUUCUCCCAUCUCAGGAACACAGGUUCAGCCAACAGUUCUAGAAAAGGAUGUCUAUCUAGUUCAGGAAUUCUAAAACACAACUGUGUCACAGAGGCUC